rnacentral:rRNA from 1 species
AACGAACGCUGGCGGCGUGCCUAACACAUGCAAGUCGAGCGAGAAAGCCCGCAAGGGUGAGUACAGCGGCGCACGGGUGCGUAACACGUGGGUAAUCUGCCCUGAAGCCCGGAAUAACCUCCCGAAAGGGAAGCUAAUACCGGAUGAGACCACGGGAGCCUCGGCUCCUGCGGGAAAAGGUGGCCUCUGCAUGCAAGCUAUCACUUCAGGAUGAGCCCGCGGCCCAUCAGCUCGAUGGCGGGGUAACGGCCCACCAAGGCUACGACGGGUAGCUGGUAGGAGAGACACGUCGGCCACACUGGAACUGAGACGCGGUCCAGACUCCUACGGGAGGCAGAAGUGGGGAAUCUUGCGCAAUGGGCGAAAGCCUGACGCAGCAACGCCGCGUGUGUGAUGAAGGUCUUCGGAUCGUAAAGCACUGUCGGGAGGGACGAAUAAGGGCCAGGUGAACAAUCUGGUCCGAUGACGGUACCUCUAAAGGAAGCACCGGCUAACUCUGUGCCAGCCGCCGCCGUAACAC